AUUGAACGCUGGCGGCAGGCCUAACACAUGCAAGUCGAGCGGAUGAAGGGAGCUUGCUCCUGGAUUCAGCGGCGGACGGGUGAGUAAUGCCUAGGAAUCUGCCUGGUAGUGGGGGAUAACGUCCGGAAACGGGCGCUAAUACCGCAUACGUCCUGAGGGAGAAAGUGGGGGAUCUUCGGACCUCACGCUAUCAGAUGAGCCUAGGUCGGAUUAGCUAGUUGGUGGGGUAAAGGCCUACCAAGGCGACGAUCCGUAACUGGUCUGAGAGGAUGAUCAGUCACACUGGAACUGAGACACGGUCCAGACUCCUACGGGAGGCAGCAGUGGAGAAUAGUGGACAAUGGGCGAAAGCCUGAUCCAGCCAUGCCGCGUGUGUGAAGAAGGUCUUCGGAUUGUAAAGCACUUUAAGUUGGGAGGAAGGGCAGUAAGUUAAUACCUUGCUGUUUUGACGUUACCAACAGAAUAAGCACCGGCUAACUUUG
rnacentral:rRNA from 1 species